rnacentral:rRNA from 1 species
UACAGAGGUCUCAAGCGUUGUCCGGAAUUAUUGGGCGUAAAGAGCUCGUAGGCGGUCUGUCACGUCGGACGUGAAAAUCCAGGGCUCAACCCUGGACCUGCGUUCGAUACGGGCAGACUAGAGUUCGGCAGGGGAGACUGGAAUUCCUGGUGUAGCGGUGAAAUGCGCAGAUAUCAGGAGGAACACCGGUGGCGAAGGCGGGUCUCUGGGCCGAUACUGACG